AAAUGACGCCACCCUCCAAAGGCGUCGGGGAGCGAUUUCAACUGCUUGCUGGCGAUCAACAAAGACUUGAAUGUUGAUGUAACCUUCGUUUUGAGGGGUGCAGAUAAGAAGAGAAAUCCAAUCAAGUCAAUUAAGUUCCGGCUUUCGAAACCUCGGAGUUUGAGAUCAUGAACCGGCGCAGCACUCAACCGCCCUGAAGGCCAGAGGCCAGUUCUGGAAGGGGAAAGCCGUGCCUUUGGCGUCCCGGACAGCGCCGGGCGGCCCGUUCCGGUUACCUGCAGGGCAGGGCCGCAGUCCUGCGCCCGCCUCCACUUAACCGGAGGGCGCUCGGGCGGCCAGUCCCGGCGCGCUCACCACAUGUUUGAACCCGCGUCUAACACCCGCUGAAAACCUCGCUGUUGUUACCCGGACAAAGCUGUAACCCAAAACCAGGAGUGCCAGUGUGAGGUG